rnacentral:lncRNA from 1 species
CCACUCUGCACAGACACGUUGGCUGGUGCAGUCCUGGAGACCCACGGAGCUCACGGUCGUCAGGGGUCCUCAAGGAUUCAGAGAACCCCCAAAUGUCAGGGCUGCUCCCUUCUUGUCCUGCCUCUCUGCUCACACCCUUGGACAGGAGGAAGCACACGGGAGGCACUCAGAGAACGUUUGUGGAAUGAAUAAAUAAAAGCAUAUUUUGAGGGAAUAAAGAAGCAGAAAAACAAAGAAGAAUCUGGGGAAGAUGGGCAUAAAUCUCCACCAAGUGCUGCCAAGGCUUCCCAGGCGAGGCUGCUGAAAAGACCCUGUGGAGGUAGAGGGACAAUUUGUCAUGGAUGGGAAUGGGCUUGAGGGCCGGGAAGCAGGGCAUGAUGGGGCCUCAUUCAUCAUUUUCCCGUUAUCCCAGCAGCGUGCAGGGGAGCAGGUACAGCACCUGCCUGUGCAGCUGCACUGCCUGCCCGAAGGCCCUAGGCCCUGGGCCAAGUGAGUGACCAGAGGGGGACUGGGAAUGGAAAGGACCUCAAGGAAGGACAAGCUGAGCUCUGGGAGGCCACCUCCUCCAGGAAGCCUUCCCUGAUUCAUCCUUCACAGGCAGUCUCAAUUUGCAGUCAGAUAUCCACUGCUCUGAUUCUUAGAUCAGCAAGUAUCUCCCUACCCAGACUGCAGGCUCUGCUGGGGCCGCGGCUGUUUCUGACUUGUGCACAAUGGCAUCCCUGUACCUAGCACAGGACUGAGUCCAGAGAAAGUGCUCAGUGAUGCUUGUUGGCCUUGUCUCUCCUCUGUGGGCAGCACAGGGCACCCGGCGGGUCCUGAGGGUGUGGACAUCCCACGGCAGAGCCUGCGGUUGAUCCCGACCAUGAACCAAGGCCUGGGGCGGGGGUGGCCACAUCAGGCCACUUCUGCCAGGAGAGAUGUGGCUGUGAGCUGGGGGUCUGGCCUGUCCCCGGAGGCAUUCCUUGGGUUUGCAUCCAUCAGAAGAUCCACUGGUUGCCUCUAUUUGGGCCUGGAGCAGGGAUGGGAUUUUUCCAAGGUACAUGGGGUCUAGGGGAGACCCAGGCCCAUUAUUAGGGUCGGUCUUGAGAAGGCAGAGAUCAGGCCACCACUUUAUUUGGUGUAGCUCCUCGCUCCAUUGGUGUGUGCUGAGUGAAUGAAUGCAUCAGGGACUCCUGCUUCCUGCCCAGAGCCCCCUCCGCACCCCACACAGCCUUGCUCCAAGGAGAAGGGGUCAGAGCCAACUGGACAGUGCUACAGCAUGGGGAGCCUCGACCAGGCUCGGCCCUCGACGAUGGGAUAGGCAGACAGCCCCCUGUGCAAGGCAGCUAGCUUGCAGGGUCCCGAGAGGCCAAAGGCCCUGGUCUUUCCUGGGGCAAGAGGCUGCUGAGAAGGUGCACAGAGCCUGGGUGCAGGAAACCAUCCAGAAUGCUGCUUCCCGCCAUCUGUGAGAUCUUCGUUUUCUCUAACACUCAAAAAUAGAUGUUUCUGUUAUGCUCUCUCGUUGGCAGGGGAGCGGCAGGACCUGCCAAGGCCUGGGGGAGCCCGCCAGCCUGCUGAGUUCUACUGUACAAACAGUUGGGGAGGGGGCGCUGUCUCUGUUAACUUGAAAUUCCCCGAUCAGUAAACAUGCCAAUUUAAAGUGUAAUUAACUCAGGCCGGAAAAAAUUCAGAUUUGGACUGCUUUUCACAGUUGAGGUUGUUUUUCUUUUAUUUAUUUAUCUCUUUCCGGGUGUGGUGGUAUCUGUGGCUGGUUUUAGCCAGGAAAAAUAGAAGGGGGACCGGGUGGGGAGGGGGCUGGUUGGGAGAGGAAAGGCUGGAAGGAAAGGAAGAGAAACGGGCGGGUGGCCUGACACCCAGCAGCCAGGUGUCUAUAGGUUUUCUGUCCUGGGAGGGGGCUGUCAGGGUGAUGCCCGCCUGCAGAGAGGGGGUCAUUCUGCGAGGUUGGGCUGCAGACCCCUGUGCCAGCGGGCCUGGUGAUUCGGAAAUGAUGGGGCACUGUGGAGAGACCCCAGGAAAACACCCAGUGCUGCUUUUGACAUUCUCUCUCCAUCUCCCCUUUCAGCGGCUGCUCUGCCUGGGAUAAACACAUUUCAAGAGUCUCAGUCCCCGCUUUGCCACCAUCUCCUCCUCUGAUCUCCUUUCCUGCUUCAAAAGACUCCAGAAUCUUCUCGGUUCUCAGAGAAGGCUGAAUCCACCUAUGACCUAGUGGGAGCACCCUGUGCCGAAACUGUUUACCUUCUGGUCCCCGGAGCCAUGGGUCACGACCUGGGCCUCAUGUAGGCCCGCUCCUCAGCAGACCCCAAUCUGCGGCUUCUCCCACCUCACUGGGGAAGAAGGAGAGCCCUGGGGAUGUGGAGAAGCCACCCCCCACCCCGCCACAUCCCCCACAUCUUACAGAAUCUCGAUUGAAUCCCCGGGGGCACAUCCCUCAGCAGGACAGCAACAGUCUUUGCCGCAGCCUGGGGAGGGCUGUGCUGGGGAUGAGCGCCGAGUGGCCGUGGACUAAGUGAAGGAAAUGACCAUGCUCUUCUCCCAGCUGGAUGGCGAGGCCGGGCAGGAACCGCGGAAUUCCUGCUCUUCGUUUUCAAACACUUUGCUGUCAAGCUAUUUGAAUAAUAAAUACACAUUAUAAAAAUGUAAAAAAAAAAAAAA